GGAAGCCGUAUGAGUUGAGAGGCUCACGUACGGUUCUGAGAGAGCCUGAAGGUGAAACUUUGCCUCAGGACAAGAACUACCGCUACGGUUGGCAGCGUUUCUUGGCAGCCCGAACAAUCGCAAGGACUUCAAC
rnacentral:misc_RNA from 1 species